GAUGAACGCUGGCGGCGUGCCUAAUACAUGCAAGUCGAGCGAACAGAUGAGGAGCUUGCUCCUCUGACGUUAGCGGCGGACGGGUGAGUAACACGUGGAUAACCUACCUAUAAGACUGGGAUAACUUCGGGAAACCGGAGCUAAUACCGGAUAAUAUAUUGAACCGCAUGGUUCAAUAGUGAAAGACGGUUUUGCUGUCACUUAUAGAUGGAUCCGCGCCGCAUUAGCUAGUUGGUAAGGUAACGGCUUACCAAGGCAACGAUGCGUAGCCGACCUGAGAGGGUGAUCGGCCACGCUGGAACUGAGACACGGUCCAGACUCCUACGGGAGGCAGCAAUAGGGAAUCUUCCGCAAUGGGCGAAAGCCUGAAGGAGCAACGCCGCGUGAGUGAUGAAGGUCUUCGGAUCGUAAAACUCUGUUAUUAGGGAAGAACAAAUGUGUAAGUAACUAUGCACGUCUUGACGGCACCUAAUCAGAAAGCCACGGCUAACUACGUG
rnacentral:rRNA from 1 species